GAGCCCGCGUUUUCGUACUUCCUGCAGUCGGAAGUCCCGCCCCCGGGCCUACUGCUGCGCCGUAAAUGACAGGAUAACCACGACUUCCCACCAUCCCCCGCCCUGCUUAGACCCGAGCGCCCCCUCUCGAGCGAAUCGGUUGUCCAGGCAGCCGAGAACGCGACGGAAAGCUACGGCGCUGAGAUAGUCGAGCCUUGUCGGCUCCCGUACUUUUCGAAUUUCUACGGUGGACUUUGUUUCCUGAUUGUGGCGUUCUCACUUCGUCCUCUCGGCCAAUAUGAAUUUCUUCCUCUGCCUCAUCGUUGGGGGGGGUAUUGCUGCUCUCAUAUUGCUACGGCUGUGGCUGGUAGUCUGUUUCCGAAAAAAGGGGCAACCUGCUGUGUCUGUCAGAGUACUGGUGGUAGCCGGGUCCGGUGGGCACACCACAGAAAUUCUGAGACUGCUUGGUAGCUUAUCCAAAGGCUAUAAUCCAAGACAUUAUGUUCUUGCUGAUACUGAUAAGAUGAGUGCUGUUAAAAUACGUUUAUUUGAAGAGAAGAGAGCCGAGUUAGACUCUGAAUCCCUGUACACGACUCAUCUCAUUCCAAGGAGUCGGGAGGUCCAGCAGUCUUGGAGCUCUGCGCUGUUUACAACCCUGUAUGCUCUGUGUUACUCCCUUCCUCUGACUUUUCGACUCAAGCCAGACUUGGUGUUGUGUAAUGGACCAGGAACAUGUGUUCCUAUCUGUGCAUCUGCCCUUCUUCUUGGGAUACUAGCAAUAAAGAAAGUGAUCAUUGUCUACGUUGAGAGUAUCUGCAGAGUGGAAACUUUAUCCCUUUCCGGAAAGAUUCUUUACCACUUUUCAGAUUACUUCUUUGUUCAGUGGCCAGCCCUCAAGGAAAAAUAUCCCAAAUCUGUGUACCUUGGGCGAAUAGUUUGACAGAGGACAAAUGGUGUUUUCAGAUUUCCACAGUCAACUAUGGUAUUUUUUAUAAUGGGGCCCUCUCUGAGGAAUAAUGAAGAGUUAAAAUGCCUGCAAAAUUUUUGGGAUAUAUCUAAGAAGACAAUGGAAUGAGAGAGGUUGCAAAGAAGCCAAAUUCCUAAUGAUCUACCUUAAAAAUAGCAACAGAAAUGCUGAAAGCAAAAUUAUCAGGAAUUCUUACAAGAAAAUUAAAAUUUACCAAAAGACAAUGACCAAACUAAAGGAAAACUGAUAUUUUUAAAAAAUUACAGAGUAAGAGGAACAAGGGAGGGAAAUAUCAGAAGUUCAACAAUAGCAUCAAAAGUUGCAUGAGGAACAAAGUAAUAAAUAGAGAUGAACUCAAAUGGGUAACAGGAUAAAAAUAAAAUUCACAUAUCCCUUCCCCCAUUACCAAAAAAAAUAGCUGAAUAUAGUAGAGAAACCUCAGGAGGAAUUAAAGGAAGAAUGUAACAAAGGAAUUUUUAGAAGAGUUCAUGGAAAAACUUCUCAAGAUGGAUAAUGAAGAGAAUUUAGAAAAAUUCAGUGGGCCUGGCCAAAAAACAGAAUUAAUGCAAUAGAGCAAAGAACAUAGCUGAAGUGGAAAAACAAGGUCAGAAAAUAACCCAAUUGGAAAAAUAUUUGGAAGCCAUGCAGGUGGAAGUUUCAAAUUUGGAAGAUGGCUCUAAGAGAAAAAAACCCUCAAAGGGUGAUGGAGCACCAGAAAACAAUCGGGAUGUUUCUCUUCCCCAAUUAACCCCCUUUUUUAAUAGAGUUACACAAAUGAUUCAUAUAAACAAGAGGACUUUAAUCAUGAGCAUGAGUAACCAUGAACAAGUCAUAGAAGCUCUCUGAGUUUUAAUUUUCUGAUCUUUAAAAUGGGUUUGGAAGGGAGGAGAAAGAAGAUGGGAUAGGAAGAUAACAAAAGAACAGAUCUUUAAGAGCUGUGAAGAGCAAAUGUGAUGAAGCCAAUAUUAAUUGUCAAAAUUCCCUAAAUUAAUUUAAUAAUAAUGAAAUACUUGAAUUAA